AAAGAAUGAGUUGGAAACGCAGGAACUGAGAGAAAGAAUGAGUUGGAAACCCAAGAACUGAGAGAAAGAAUGCGUUGGAAACCCAGGAACUGAGAGAAAGAAUGAGUUGGAAACGAAGGAACUGAGAGAAAGAAUGAGUUGUUUACGUAGGAGCUGAGAGAAAGAAUGACUUACGAGAGAACAUUAAUAAUACACCUUUUUAUUUUGGAAUAGAAUACUUUGACAUGGUUGUAGUAUCUGACAUUCAGUUAACACGCGGUGGGGUCACUUUCGCUCAAUGUCAGCAAGGGUAAUUUUGUCAAGUUGUAAGCUGAGUUUGCUGAGUAAACGAAACUGUGUGUUCCAGUUUAAGCGUUUGGGUCUAUUUCUUAUUUCACUGAUUUCACUUUUGCAAAGGCUGGUGAAUUUUUUGUGCUAGGGCAAAGGUGAUUUCACAUUUAUCAGCUCUCAUAGCUGCUACAGAACGAUCAGGAUCAUCCUGAGUCUCUCGCAGAUACACGAAACCAUCCUUCAUAUCUCUUAAGCAAAUCACUUCUUCAUCAUCUUCAUCUACAUUUCUUUUGUCCGAUCCACU
rnacentral:lncRNA from 1 species